GGGUCAGUAGGUUGGUCGUGCCACCGGUACGUACUGGUCUCACUGAUUCCUCCUUCCUGAAGAACCGUAAUGCCAUUAAUUUGGUGUUGCGGGGAAACAGGACUAUUACUUUGAAAAAAUUAGAGUGUUUAAAGCAAGCUAACGCUUGAAUACAUUAGCAUGGAAUAAUGAAAUAGGACGAUCGAUCCUAUUUUGUUGGUUUCUGGGAUUGACGUA
rnacentral:rRNA from 1 species